rnacentral:rRNA from 1 species
GACGAACGCUGGCGGCAUGCCUAAUACAUGCAAGUCGAGCGAACAGAUGAAGUGCUUGCACUUCUGACGUUAGCGGCGAACGGGUGAGUAACACGUAAGGAAUCUACCUAUAAGCGGGGGAUAACAUUCGGAAACGGGUGCUAAUACCGCAUAAUAUCUUCUUCCGCAUGGAAGAAGAUUGAAAGACGGCUCUGCUGUCACUUAUAGAUGACCUUGCGGUGCAUUAGUUAGUUGGUGGGGUAACGGCCUACCAAGACGAGGAUGCAUAGCCGACCUAGGAGGGUGAUCGGCCACAUUGGGACUGAGACACGGCCCAAACUCCUACGGGGGGCGGCAGUAGGGAACCUUCCGCAAUGGGCGAAAGCCUGACGGAGCAAUGCCGCGUGAGUGAAGAAGGCCUUCGGGUCGUAAAACUCUGUUAUAAGAGAAGAACAAAUUGUAGAGUAACUGCUACAGUCUUGACGGUAUCUUAUCAGAAAGCCACGGCUAACUACGUGCCAGCAGCCGCCGUAA